rnacentral:rRNA from 1 species
AAUGAACGUUGGCGGCGUGGAUUAGGCAUGCAAGUCGAGCGCUCAUAGGCAAUAUGGGAGCGGCGAACGGCGGUAGUAAUACGUAGGAACGUACCCUCGGGUCGAGGAUAGGCUAUGGGAAACUGUAGGUAAUACUCGAUAACCUCUGCGGAGCAAAGGUGUGAUUCCGCCCGAGGAGCGGCUUACGCGAUAUUAGCUGGUUGGUAGGGUAAUGGCCUACCAAGGCGAUGAUGUCUAGGGGGUGUGAGAGCAUGGGCCCCCACGACCGGAACUGAGAUACUGUCCGGACACCUACGGGUGGCUGCAGUCGAGAAUCUUCCGCAAUGGACGAAAGUCGUGACGGAGCGACGCCGCGUGCGGGAUGAAGGCCCUUGGGUUGUAAACCGCUGUCAGAGGGGAUGAAAUCUUCGGAGGUACUCCUCCGAAGUUGACAGAGCCUCAAAGGAAGCACGGGCUAAGUACGUGCCAGCAGCCGCGGUAAUGUCAC